UUCUCUUGCAGAUUUCAGAAACUCCAGAAGAGGAAAUGGAAGCUAAAUGAGGCAGGUAUCUCUUCUUUACCAUAAGAAGUUAGAUAUGGCUGACAACAUAGAAAAGCAUUUCAUAAAGAAAGUGGUAGCCACCAUCUUCCUACAGAAACCUGGACUGACUUUCAGUGUGCUGUAUCUGAAGGAGAAAAGGCAGUUUGUGAAAUGUCACACACAAUACAGCUGAGGAAAACACUCAAGAAAGAACUUCAGUGCAGAAUCAUAAUCAGGUGCCUGUUUUCAAGCACUUCAAAGCCUUUUCCAAAAUCAGUGAAAAUAUUCCGGCUCAUUGGAAGAGAAUUGCAACAAAGCCCUACAAUGGAAAGAAACAGAGGAAUUCAAGGUAAGCUCUCAUGGCAGAGGUUCAAAUUAGAUUCUGGACAUGAAACAUCGAAACAUCGUGUCUGGAAGCAUUCCUAGUAUGCUGAAACACCUGGUGUUUUAUGCCCAGAUAUAUUAACUAUAUUGCAAAAAAAUUCAAGGCCAUGUUGUCAGGGUGUUGAAAGUCUUUGGAUAGAGAAAAGGAACUCCAU
rnacentral:lncRNA from 1 species